rnacentral:lncRNA from 1 species
GCCUGGCUUGUGCAUCAGAACUACCGGCAGAUCAUUUGUAAGAAAAGGCUCUGCUUUUCCCUCGUCUCAGGGAUUCACACUCCGGAGCACCUUGGGGAACUUGGAGCCACUGACGAAAGUAAUGCCUGAGAGAGUGGCAUCAGCAGCCGCAGCGAAGAAAGCAAAAGAGGGAGGACCUUUCUCUUCUAAGAAAUAA